rnacentral:lncRNA from 1 species
AGAGCAUCGCGUUGCUGUGGCAACACAACCCACUUCCCCUGGGACCGCGUUGCCUCGGCGACAUCAGGCGGGCAACGCCGGCGGGUUAAAUCGACUCAGAGCAGCUGCCCCCUGAAAAACAGGACAGCCCUGGCCUCGGGGAGCAUGGGAGCCCAGAGGUUCAUCUCACCAGAGCCUGGGAAUGUAGAACAGCCAUGUGACUAAUGUGAUUAUCAGCUCUGUCAGAAAGAAAAAUUAGACACGAAAAUCAAGAUGAGCAUCUUCCAUGGACACCUCACUUCAAGAUCUUACCAUUAUUCCAAGCAAAGCUUUAGCAGAUCAUUCAAAUUUAAUUAUAGAAGGAUCUGUAGAAGACAGAUUAUCAGCCAGCUACUCAAUAAAGAAACUUUUAAGCAUAUUUUGUAAUCAAUACCCAUUUUAUUAACCAGCAGUGCCAGUGCCCAGAGGAAAGUAAUAGAGAAUAAAAUAGAAAAUAUCAAUAUGGCUGAUAGAAAC